AUCCCAUAGAUAAUCUAAUCAAUAAUCUAACAAAGGCCAUAAAUGUAGCUAUUGCCCAUAAAAUGGUUCCAAUAACAAUGUACAUUAGCCAAGCUCAUCAUUUGGUAGACAAUCAAGGACAAAGUAGGCAAAUUAAUAGUAGUAGUAAGAAAAAUCUAUCAAAGUUUUAACUUAUUCCUAUUUAGUAUGUGAGUAUUAAGACAAAUUCUUCAACCUUAAUGACAAGUUGUUAA
rnacentral:lncRNA from 1 species